rnacentral:misc_RNA from 1 species
UUAACUAUUAGAUAGUACUCAGACGACACUAACAUUCAGAGUUUGGGGUUCUCUGGCGGGCGCUUACCAGCGGGAGCCGAUAGCCUGGCCGAAGCCCGACGGCCCGCCAAAGCAACAAGGUAAUAUAACAUAGGGUGGGAGGUCUACCCGUAAGGGCAUGAACUCGGUAAUGAUCCCUCCGCAGGUUCACCUACGGAGA